rnacentral:rRNA from 1 species
AUUGAACGCUGGCGGCAGGCCUAACACAUGCAAGUCGAGCGGAUGAAGGGAGCUUGCUCCUGGAUUCAGCGGCGGACGGGUGAGUAAUGCCUAGGAAUCUGCCUGGCAGUGGGGGAUAACGUCCGGAAACGGGCGCUAAUACCGCAUACGUCCUGAGGGAGAAAGUGGGGGAUCUUCGGACCUUACGCUAUCAGAUGAGCCUAGGUCGGAUUAGCUAGUUGGUGGGGUAAAGGCCUACCAAGGCGACGAUCCGUAACUGGUCUGAGAGGAUGAUCAGUCACACUGGAACUGAGACACGGUCCAGACUCCUACGGGAGGCAGCAGUGGGGAAUAUUGGACAAUGGGCGAAAGCCUGAUCCAGCCAUGCCGCGUGUGUGAAGAAGGUCUUCGGAUUGUAAAGCACUUUUGGUUGGGAGGAAGAGCAGUAAGUUAAUACCUUGCUGUUUUGACGGUACCAACAGAAUAAGCACCGGCUAACUUCGUG